rnacentral:tRNA from 2 species
GGAGAGGUGGCAGAGUGGUCGAAUGCACCGCACUCGAAAUGCGGCAUACGGGCAACCGUAUCCAGGGUUCGAAUCCCUGCCUCUCCGCCA